GCCCCGUGUUCCGAACUGUCUCCGUAUGGAGCGCGUGCCUGCCGUUGGCAGGAUAGGACACGGGGCCGCC
rnacentral:ncRNA from 1 species